rnacentral:misc_RNA from 1 species
GAAAUGCGAUACGUAAUGUGAAUUGCAGUAAUCAGUGAAUCAUCGAAUCUUUGAACGCAAAUUGCGCUUUGGGGUAUUCCCCAGAGCAUGCCUGGUUGAGUAUCAUUUAACACAAAUCAUCUAUUUAUAGAUGGAUAUGGGGCGUCUUGGUUGCAAAGCCAAGUCCCCUUAAAUAUAGAGAUGUGCAACUGGCUACAUUGCUAUUUGUGCAGAUUGGUGUGGUAAUUGUUUUCAUUAACAUUUUCAUAUCGCCAUUUCUGUCAUAAAAAGUGUUACCAAUCUCACAUCUAACAAAUCAAAAACCGAAGAGAGAGGCAAAAGAUAAAUGAUUAAUUUAUUUAUUCUUUGAACUUUUUUCGAACUUUGAUCUCAACUCAGGUAAGACUACCCGCUGAAUUUA